rfam:Sus scrofa chromosome X.
UCCCUGGUGGUCUAGAGGUUAGGAUUCGGAACUUUCACCACUGCAGCCCAGGUUCAACCCCUGGUCUGGGAA